rnacentral:tRNA from 1 species
UGCGGGGUGGAGCAGUUUGGUAGCUCGUCGGGCUCAUAACCCGAAGGUCAUCGGUUCAAAUCCGGUCCCCGCUA